UACGUAGGGUGCGAGCGUUGUCCGGAAUUACUGGGCGUAAAGAGCUCGUAGGCGGUUUGUCGCGUCGUCCGUGAAAACUUGGGGCUCAACCCCAAGCUUGCGGGCGAUACGGGCAGACUUGAGUACUGCAGGGGAGACUGGAAUUCCUGGUGUAGCGGUGAAAUGCGCAGAUAUCAGGAGGAACACCGGUGGCGAAGGCGGGUCUCUGGGUAGUAACUGACGCUGAGGAACGAAAGCGUGGGUAGCGAACAGG
rnacentral:rRNA from 1 species